AGCGGCGGACGGGUGAGUAAUGCCUAGGAAUCUGCCUGGUAGUGGGGGACAACGUUUCGAAAGGAACGCUAAUACCGCAUACGUUCUACGGGAGAAAGCAGGGGACCUUCGGGCCUUGCGCUAUCAGAUGAGCCUAGGUCGGAUUAGCUAGUUGGUGAGGUAAUGGCUCACCAAGGCGACGAUCCGUAACUGGUCUGAGAGGAUGAUMAGUCACACUGGAACUGAGACACGGUCCAGAACUCUACGGGAGGCAGCAGUGGGGAAUAUUGGACAAUGGGCGAAAGCCUGAUCCAGCCAUGCCGCGUKUGUGAAGAAGGUCUUCGGAUUGUAAAGCACUUUAAGUUGGGAGGAAGGGCAGUAAAUUAAUACUUUGCUGUUUUGACGUUACCGACAGAAUAAGCACCGGCUAACUCUGUGCCAGCAGCCGCGGUAAUACAGAGGGUGCAAGCGUUAAUCGGAAUUACUGGGCGUAAAGCGCSCGUAGGUGGUUCGUUAAGUUGGAUGUGAAAUCCCCGGGCUCAACCUGGGAACUGCAUUCAAAACUGUCGAGCUAGAGUAUGGUAGAGGGUGGUGGAAUUUCCUGUGUAGCGGUGAAAUGCGUAGAUAUAGGAAGGAACACCAGUGGCGAAGGCGACCACCUGGACUGAUACUGACACUGAGGUGCGAAAGCGUGGGGAGCAAACAGGAUUUAGAUACCCUGGUAGUCCACGCCGUAAACGAUUGUCAACUAGCCGUUGGGAGCCUUGAGCUCU
rnacentral:rRNA from 1 species